rnacentral:rRNA from 1 species
AGCGAACGCUGGCGGCAGGCCUAACACAUGCAAGUCGAACGGAUCCUUCGGGAUUAGUGGCGGACGGGUGAGUAACACGUGGGAACGUGCCUUUGGUUCGGAACAACUCAGGGAAACUUGAGCUAAUACCGGAUGUGCCCUUCGGGGGAAAGAUUUAUCGCCAUUGGAGCGGCCCGCGUCUGAUUAGCUAGUUGGUGAGGUAAAGGCUCACCAAGGCGACGAUCAGUAGCUGGUCUGAGAGGAUGAUCAGCCACAUUGGGACUGAGGCACGGCCCAAACUCCUACGGGAGGCAGCAGUGGGGAAUCUUGCGCAAUGGGCGAAAGCCUGACGCAGCCAUGCCGCGUGAAUGAUGAAGGUCUUAGGAUUGUAAAAUUCUUUCACCGGGGACGAUAAUGACGGUACCCGGAGAAGAAGCCCCGGCUAACUUCGUGCCAGCCGCCGCAGUAACAC